rnacentral:rRNA from 1 species
UUGCACGCUGGCGGCAGGCCUAACCCAUGCAAGUCGAGCGGAUGAAGGGAGCUUGCUCCUGGAUUCAGCGGCGGACGGGUGAGUAAUGCCUAGGAAUCUGCCUGGUAGUGGGGGAUAACGUCCGGAAACGGGCGCUAAUACCGCAUACGUCCUGAGGGAGAAAGUGGGGGAUCUUCGGACCUCACGCUAUCAGAUGAGCCUAGGUCGGAUUAGCUAGUUGGUGGGGUAAAGGCCUACCAAGGCGACGAUCCGUAACUGGUCUGAGAGGAUGAUCAGUCACACUGGAACUGAGACACGGUCCAGACUCCUACGGGAGGCAGCAGUGGGGAAUAUUGGACAAUGGGCGAAAGCCUGAUCCAGCCAUGCCGCGUGUGUGAAGAAGGUCUUCGGAUUGUAAAGCACUUUAAGUUGGGAGGAAGGGCAGUAAGUUAAUACCUUGCUGUCUUGACGUUACCAACAGAAUAAGCACCGGCUAACUUCGUG